rnacentral:rRNA from 1 species
CUACGGGCCGCAGCAGUGAGGAAUUUUGCGCAAUGGGGGGAACCCUGACGCAGCAACGCCGCGUGAGUGAUGAAGGCUUUCGGGUCGUAAAGCUCUGUCAAGUGGGAAGAACCUAUGCAGUGUUAAUAUCACUGUAUACUGACGGUACCACUGAAGGAAGCACCGGCUAACUCCGUGCCAGCAGCCGCGGUAAUACGGGGGGUGCAAGCGUUAUUCGGAAUCAUUGGGCGUAAAGGGCACGUAGGCGGCUUGGUAAGUCAGAUGUGAAAGCCCGGGGCUUAACCCCGGAAGUGCAUUUGAUACUGUCAGGCUUGAGUAUGGGAGAGGGAAGUGGAAUUCCUGGUGUAGAGGUGAAAUUCGUAGAUAUCAGGAGGAACACCGGUGGCGAAGGCGACUUCCUGGACCAAUACUGACACUGAGGUGCGAAGGCGUGGGUAGCAAACAGGAUUAGAUACCCGGGUAGUC